CUUCUAAGAAGACUGUGAGUUUGUAUCUCUCUCUCUCUCUUACAUAUAUAUAUGUCAACAUGUGUGCAUACUCAACUUGAUUAAAAAAAAAACAUGAAGAAAUUGAGGUCACAGCAAAAUGAAGGUGUACACAUAAGAUCUCCAGGGCAGGAAAGGCUGGUAGGUACACAAAUGCUGGUCCUAGGGUCUCAGGCAGAUAUGAGAGAUUGUUACAGAUUUGGUUCUUAACCUCUUAGCAACCAAAGCAAAGAAACGCUAUCAACAGAACUCACCGUGUCAUUAGAAAAUAAAAUAUGAUUACUUAGCAGAAGCUCAGAGUUUUCUAUUAGUAGGUAUACAGGUUUUAACAAAGGGCAGCCUAUCACACCAUCCUGGAUAGAGCUAUAAUGAAAUGCAGGUGGGUUUGUGCUGUGGGCUGUGUGCGGGGCAUGGCUGCCAUGUCUUUGUGUGUUGUGGGGGAAGGUUCGGGAGGUCUCCAGGGAGCUAAGGCCCAUGGGAAUGGGAGUGGGCACUCACACUGAGUGUGGUGGUCCUGUGUAGCCCAGACUGAAAGACGACUUGGAGGCCACCUUCCUGUGCAGGCCAGGCUGGACCUCUGACACACUCACAACAGGGCCCUGGCUGGGUGUGGUGCCUCACGCCUGUAAUCUCAGCACUUUGGGAGGCCUAAGCGGGGGGAUCACCUGAGGUCAGGAGUUUGAGACCACCCUGACCAACAUGGAGAAACCCCAUUUCUACUAAAAAUACAAAAUUAGGGCAUGGUGGCGCAUGCCUGUAAUCCCAGCUACUCGGGAGGCUGACGCAGGAGAAUCGCUUGAACCUGGGAGGUGGAAGUUGCAAUGAACCAAGAUUGCACUAUUGCACUCCAGCCUGGGCAACAAGAGCGAAACUCCGUCUAAAAAAAAAAAAAAAAAAAAAGAAAGAGAACCCUGAGGAAGCACGUGGCCAGGCUGCACCUGAGACUUUUCCUGGUCUCCACAGAUGCUGCUGGUUAUCUCCUUUUGCCCUGCACGGCCUGAAGCAGUUCCAGAACUUCCCCAGUACUUGAGAUGCCUAGAACACAUAAGUUGGAGGUCAGAGCCCAUCCCCCACUGCCAUCCUACGUCUGACUCUCCACAAAAAGGAGGAAAGCAGGCCUGA
rnacentral:lncRNA from 1 species